AGGAUGAACGCUGGCGGCGUGCUUAACACAUGCAAGUCGAACGAUGAAGGCUGGAGCUUGCUCUGGCUGGAUUAGUGGCGAACGGGUGAGUAACACGUGAGUAACCUGCCCCCCGACUCUGGGAUAAGCGCUGGAAACGGCGUCUAAUACCGGGUACGAG
rnacentral:rRNA from 1 species